rfam:Sphingobium japonicum BiD32, WGS project CAVK01000000 data, contig: 49
GAUGCGGGCCGGGCCCCUCUGACGCGCUGGACUUCCCCCUUGUCCAGCCGUGAUGUCGGACCGCAUCG